UCGAGCGGCAGCGGGAAAGUAGCUUGCUACUUUUGCCGGCAAGCGGCGGACGGGUGAGUAAUGCCUGGGAAAUUGCCCAGUCGAGGGGGAUAACAGUUGGAAACGACUGCUAAUACCGCAUACCCCCUACGGGGGAAAGCAGGGGACCUUCGGGCCUUGCGCGAUUGGAUAUGCCCAGGGGGGAUUAGCUAGUUGGGGAGGUAAGGGCUCACCAAGGCGACAAUCCCUAGCUGGUCUGAGAGGAUGAUCAGCCCCACUGGAACUGAAACACGGUCCAAACUCCUACGGGAGGCAGCAGGGGGGAAUAUUGCACAAGGGGGGAAACCCUGAUGCAGCAACGCCGCGGGAGUGAAAAAGUAUUUCGGUAUGUAAAGCUCUAUCAGCAGGAAAGAAAAUGACGGUACCUGACUAAAAACCCCCGGCUAACUACGUG
rnacentral:rRNA from 1 species